CCUACGGGGGGCUGCAGUAGGGAAUCUUCGGCAAUGGGGGCAACCCUGACCGAGCAACGCCGCGUGAGUGAAGAAGGUUUUCGGAUCGUAAAACUCUGUUGUUAGAGAAGAACGUUAAGUAGAGUGGAAAAUUACUUAAGUGACGGUAUCUAACCAGAAAGGGACGGCUAACUACGUGCCAGCAGCCGCGGUAGUACGUAGGUCCCAAGCGUUGUCCGGAUUUAUUGGGCGUAAAGCGAGCGCAGGUGGUUUCUUAAGUAGGGUCUAAAGCGCAGUGGCUCAACCAUUGGCUGCAUUGGAUACUGGGAGACUUGAGUGCAGGAGAGGAGAGUGGAAUUCCAUGUGUAGCGGUGAAAUGCGUAGAUAUAUGGAGGAACACCGGAGGCGAAAGCGGCUCUCUGGCCUGUAACUGACACUGAGGCUCGAAAGCGUGGGGAGCAAACAGGAUUAGAUACCCGUGUAGUC
rnacentral:rRNA from 1 species